rnacentral:rRNA from 1 species
AGAGUUUGAUCCUGGCUCAGGAUGAACGCUGACAGAAUGCUUAACACAUGCAAGUCGACUCGAGUCUUCGGACUUGGGUGGCGCACGGGUGAGUAACGCGUAAAGAACUUGCCUCUUAGACCGGGACAACAUCUGGAAACGGAUGCUAAUACCGGAUAUUAUGGUUUCUUCGCAUGGAGGAAUCAUGAAAGCUAGAUGCGCUAAGAGAGAGCUUUGCGUCCCAUUAGCUGGUUGGUGAGGUAACGGCCCACCAAGGCAAUGAUGGGUAGCCGGCCUGAGAGGGUGAACGGCCACAAGGGGACUGAGACACGGCCCUUACUCCUACGGGAGGCAGCAGUGGGGAAUAUUGGACAAUGGACCACAAGUCUGAUCCAGCAAUUCUGUGUGCACGAUGACGUUUUUCGGAAUGUAAAGUGCUUUCAGUCGGGAAGAAGUCAGUGACGGUACCGACAGAAGAAGCGACGGCUAAAUACGUGCCAGCAGCCGCGGUAAUACGUAUGUCGCAAGCGUUAUCCGGAUUUAUUGGGCGUAAAGCGCGUCUAGGCGGCAAGGAAAGUCUGAUGUGAAAAUGCGGAGCUCAACUCCGUAUGGCGUUGGAAACUGCCUUACUAGAGUACUGGAGAGGUAGGCGGAACUACAAGUGUAGAGGUGAAAUUCGUAGAUAUUUGUAGGAAUGCCGAUGGGGAAGCCAGCCUACUGGACAGAUACUGACGCUAAAGCGCGAAAGCGUGGGUAGCAAACAGGAUUAGAUACCCUGGUAGUCCACGCUGUAAACGAUGAUUACUAGGUGUUGGGGGUCAAACCUCAGCGCCCAAGCUAACGCGAUAAGUAAUCCGCCUGGGGAGUACGUACGCAAGUAUGAAACUCAAAGGAAUUGACGG